GGCUCGUUGGUCUAGGGGUAUGAUUCUUGCUUAGGGUGCGAGAGGUCCCGGGUUCAAAUCCCAGGACGAGCCC
rnacentral:tRNA from 1 species